AACGAACGCUGGCGGCAUGCCUAACACAUGCAAGUCGAACGACACCUCCGGGUUUGGUGUCGCACGGGUUCGUAAACCGUUGGAUCCUGCCCUUAGGUUCGGAAUAACUUCCCGAAUGGGGUGCUAAUACCGGGUAUUGUCUUCCGUCCAAAGUUUUGUUGCGCUUGGAUGGGCUCGCGUUGGAUUAGUUGGUUGGUAGGGUAAAAGCCUAUCACUGCGUGGAUCCAUAGAUGGUUUGAGAGGAUGAGCAGCGACACUGGUCGUGAGACACGGCCCAGAAUCCUACGGGAGGGGGGAGUGGGGGAUAUAGGACAGUGGGGUGAGGGAUGAACGAGCAAGGCCGGGUAAGUGAUGAAGGCGGUAGGGUAGAGAAGCUCUUUUACCCGGGAUGAUAAUGACGGUACCGGGAGAAUAAGCUCCGGCUAACUCCGUG
rnacentral:rRNA from 1 species